AGAAUGAGCCGACAACUCAUAGCAAUAGCGAAAGCGAGUCUUCAUAAGGCAAUUGUCACCUGCACCUGGGCAAUCUAUCUAUGACCAAGAUGAAGCUUGGUGAAACUUAGUGAAUGUUCGAACCGACUGAUGUUGAAGAUUCAACAAAUGGGUUGUGGUUAGAGGUCAAAUGCCACCCAAACCCAAAGCUAGCUAG
rnacentral:ncRNA from 1 species